AAACCUGGCAACAUUUUGCUUGACCGCAAUUAUGUAAGUAAGAUCAGUGAUGUUGGUUUAGCUAGGCUUGUUCCCCCCUCUGUAGCUGACUCCGUGACACAGUACCGAAUGACGUCAACAGCGGGAACAUUUUGUUACAUAGAUCCUGAAUAUCAACAAACUGGGAUGUUAGGAACAAAAUCUGAUAUAUACUCCUUUGGAAUAAUGCUUCUCCAAAUAAUUACCGCCAGACCUCCAAUGGGUUUGACCCACCAUGUUGAGAGGGCAAUUGAGAAAGGCACUAUUGCUGAUAUGCUUGAUCCAGCAGUUCCUGACUGGCCUGUUGAAGAGGCUCUGACGUUUGCCAAGUUAGCACUCAAGUGUGCCGAACUCAGACGUAAAGAUCGACCAGAUCUUGG
rnacentral:lncRNA from 1 species